AUUGAACGCUGGCGGCAGGCUUAACACAUGCAGGUCGAGCGGAGAUGAGGUGCUUGCACCUUAUCUUAGCGGCGGACGGGUGAGUAAUGCUUAGGAAUCUGCCUAUUAGUGGGGGACAACAUUCCGAAAGGAAUGCUAAUACCGCAUACGCCCUACGGGGGAAAGCAGGGGAUCUUCGGACCUUGCGCUAAUAGAUGAGCCUAAGUCGGAUUAGCUAGUUGGUGGGGUAAAGGCCUACCAAGGCGACGAUCUGUAGCGGGUCUGAGAGGAUGAUCCGCCACACUGGGACUGAGACACGGCCCAGACUCCUACGGGAGGCAGCAGUGGGGAAUAUUGGACAAUGGGCGGAAGCCUGAUCCAGCCAUGCCGCGUGUGUGAAGAAGGCCUUUUGGUUGUAAAGCACUUUAAGCGAGGAGGAGGCUACCUGGAUUAAUACUCUAGGAUAGUGGACGUUACCCGCAGAAUAAGCACCGGCUAACUCUGUGCCAGCCGCCGCCGUAAAAC
rnacentral:rRNA from 1 species